CUUUGAAUUAACCUAUAUAAAGUAAAUAGAUGCAAAACAAUUCAUUAACAUUCCUUGAGUAAACAUGAUUUCAUCAAAUAAGGAUAAUGUGUUCUUGGAGACUGCUGAAUUGGCAUGUUUCUAAUGCUUUGAAUGAACAUGAUUAAGUUGUGUCCGGGGUGGCCUCCAGUCCUGAGGUGGCGCUAGUGCACCACUUUCUAAGACAAGAAGAAGCCGGAAAGUUCCAAAGCCAGAGAGCCGUUCGCCUCAGCUCGGUCCUACUCUUCAGUCUCAUCUCGCUGGAAUAGUGUUGUCAUGUGUGAAGAUAUACACGAAAUUGAGACUUCUGGCACAGCGGCCUGCACUGUUCGAAGUCUGUAAGAUCAGUGCUGAAUUCAAAAGAAUCACCACAGUCCCCCUGCAAUCCAAGCAACUGUUGCUGAAUUGGCUGAUUUGUACAAGAUGCACCAUUUCUGAGGACUUCUGGCACAGUGGCCUGCACUGUUUAAAGUUCGCAAGAUCAGUGCUGAAUUGAAAAGAAUCCCCACAGUCCCACUGCAAUGGCCUGCACUGUUCCAAGUCCACAAGGUCAUGGAUGAAGUUGCCGUAGACGAAGCAAAUGAAGACAUCACUAUUGGAAUCUGCUCUGACAGAAGAUUGGGCAUCCCACCCUUAGGACAUUGUCAGUUUUAGUGUAUGUCUGUCACACACGUGACACCCAAUCGGAAAGGACUCUUUUUUUCAGCAACUAAAAAACUGUGAAAUGUUUAAGUGAAAUGUACCUUUUUUCUAGAGAUCUAUUUGCUUGUAUGCACUUCCAGCUCCUUGCUGGUUUAAGAAUAGCACUUGAGUGUGCAUAUGUUUUGUACAUACUGUGUUGAUUUUGACCCAAACUAAAGACAAACAAAAUACCAAGAUUAGACUUAAAUAAGACUGGGUAAUGACACAAAUGUGGUCACCAAAGAGGACAACCAAAUGAAUGGUGGACUGCCAGAUGCACGUGCACAUGCAUACAGUAUACGCGCAUGAAUGCACACACGCACACUUACUAGUGUGGACUAAUGCACUUAGUCAAUGAGCUAAAAGAACUGUAUGUAGAGUGAAUUUUAUUUGUGUCCGAUGUGUUCACAUGAAUGCUAAUCCAGCCAGAGAGCACUUUUUCACAGCAACCAAACAAAUCAUUUUCUUAAAGGUGCACUGUGUAGGAUGGUGACCAGAGUAGGCAACUAUGCUGCACAUUGAAACGGUGCUGCCUAUUACCAACUUUGUCCUUUUCAUGAAUAUUUACUUAGUAAUAAACGAAAAUGUGUUAGUAUGACC